UUCGUAGGCGGUGUGGCAAGUCGGGAGUGAAAUCUCUAGGCUCAACCUAGAGGCUGCUUCCGAAACUGCUGUGCUUGAGUGUGAGAGAGGCUCGUGGAAUUGCAGGUGUAGCGGUGAAAUGCGUAGAUAUCUGCAGGAACACCCGUGGCGAAAGCGGCGAGCUGGAUCACAACUGACGCUGAGGAACGAAAGCUAGGGGAGCAAACAGGAUUAGAUACCCUGGUAGUCCUAGCCCUAAACGAUCAGGACUUGGGGUGCCGCCCGUUCGGGCGUCGUCCCGGAGCUAACGCGUUAAGUCCUGCACCUGGGGAGUACGGUCGCAAGACUGAA
rnacentral:rRNA from 1 species